UUGGAAAACCUUCAAAUCUUCAUACUACA
rnacentral:piRNA from 1 species